AUCUUAGUUGUUCUGGAGCUUCCUACAAAGGAGACCGUGCAACGAGGCAGAAAGAGCUCUGGUACUGACUGUGUAACCUUAGGGAGGGGAAUUGCCCUCUCCGAUCCUCAGAGUGCGAUAAUGAUGACCCCUAUUCAUAAGCUCUGGUGGAGGUUUUGUUGCUGCGCCCCUCCCCUGACUCAGGCAAUGGCAAGGCCCUACUGAGGUGGAUGGCGCAAGGCGUCCAUCCUCUGGAGGAGCACAGUAUGUUUCUGGGAAUGGGCUGGUUUGUUUCUGUAUUCCUUUAAUAAGUAUAGUUGCGGCUUCUCAUAGGACCAUUAAGUAUGCAGGAAAAAUCAUGACUUUCCCAAUUAAUGCAACUACUUCUAAAGAAUAAAUCUGUUUGCUCUAAAUGCAGUGAUUCAGCUGUGGAACGUAAACUGUUAAUGUUUAAUGAAAAACUCCCUGUAUUCCUGUCAAGGAAGUUUUUGAGAAAUUAAAUUAAAAUCUAGAGAAGAAGAAUUAAUGUUAAGAAGACAGAUUAGUGCUUAGUACUGGGCAACUUGUUCUUGUUCCUGUGCAUAAUGGUUUGUGCUCUUACUCUUGUUUGAUUAAAAUUAAUAGCCUCUUUUUUCAAGUUAACCACUUGCCAUAACCAUGGCACCGGUUCUAGACAGUAAGUCAAGAAAGAAUAGUCAAGGUAUAGGCCAAUAGUCUGGGACAUUUCUAACUAUUAUUAAAAGUUAACUAAGCAGAAACAGCUCAAAGCAAAACGUGAACUGAAAGGAAAAAUGCUUGCUUAUGCAUAAGCCAAAAUACAUUCUUCUAUUCUAAUUGUAGCUACGUAAUACUUUGUUUCUUUGAAUAAUGAUUCCUGUUUUGUAACCACAAAGUACCUGUGAGCCUGCCAAAAUGAAAAGUAUAUAUGAUUAAUUUCACAAGUAAG
rnacentral:lncRNA from 1 species